ACCGUCGACAGUCUUGAAUAGAGCGAGACCCCUGCGUCUAGUUGCUACCAUUACUCUCUGGAGCAGUGGAGCGAAUUAGACGGACCGCCACAGUUAAUGUGGAGGAAGGAAGGGGCCACGGCAGGUCAGUAUGCCCCGAAACCCUAGGGCUACACGCGGGCUGCAAUGGUAUUGACAAUGUGUUCCGAAUCCGAAAGGAGGAGGCAAUCAUCAAACAAUAUCUCAGUUAUGACUGAGGGCUGUAACUCGCCCUCACGAAUAUGGAAUCCCUAGUAACCGCGCGUCACUACCGCGCGGUGAAUACGUCCCUGCUCCUUGCACGAAUUCGCCG
rnacentral:rRNA from 1 species